GUACACACCGCCCGUCGCUCCUACCGUUGGAUUCGAAGGUGAGCUUGCCGGAUGAUUCACAAUCAGUUCUACUGUAUUGUGAACAGAAAUCAAACAAAUCUUCCURUCUGUAGGAAGGAGAAGUCGUAACAAGGUWKYCGUAGGUGAACCUGCAGAAGGAUCA
rnacentral:rRNA from 1 species